rnacentral:rRNA from 1 species
UCAUAUGCUUGUCUCAAAGAUUAAGCCUGCAUGUCUAAGUAUAAGCAAUUUAUACCGUGAAACUGCGAAUGGCUCAUUAAAUCAGUUAUCGUUUAUUUGAUAGUACCUUACUACUUGGAUAACCGUGGUAAUUCUAGAGCUAAUACAUGCUAAAAACCUCGACUUCGGAAGGGGUGUAUUUAUUAGAUAAAAAACCAAUGCCCUUCGGGGCUCUUUGGUGAUUCAUAAUAACUUAACGAAUCGCAUGGCCUUGUGCCGGCGAUGGUUCAUUCAAAUUUCUGCCCUAUCAACUUUCGAUGAGCUUAGGGGGUGAUGGGCAUUCAUGCCUGUCUGGUAGGCAAGGUAGGGUUCUAUUCCGGAGAGGGAGCCUGAGAAACGGCUACCACAUCCAAGGAAGGCAGCAGGCGCGCAAAUUACCCAAUCCCGACUCGGGGAGGUAGUGACAAUAAAUACUGAUACAGGGCUCUUUUGGGUCUUGUAAUUGGAAUGAGUACAAUUUAAAUCCCUUAACGAGGAACAAUUGGAGGGCAAGUCUGGUGCCAGCAGCCGCGGUAAUUCCAGCUCCAAUAGCGUAUAUUAAAGUUGUUGCAGUUAAAAAGCUCGUAGUUGAACCUUGGGCCUGGCUGGCCGGUCCGCCUCACCGCGUGCACUGGUCCGGCCGGGUCUUUCUUCCUGGGGAGCCGCAUGCCCUUCACUGGGUGUGUCGGGGAACCAGGACUUUUACUUUGAAAAAAUUAGAGUGUUCAAAGCAGGCAUAUGCUCGAAUACAUUAGCAUGGGAUAAUAAAAUAAGACGUGAGGUUUUAUUUUGUUGGUUUCUAAGACCGCCGUAAUGAUUAAUAGGGUCAGCUGGGGCCAUCAGAAUUCAAUUGUCAGAGGUGAAAUUCUUGGAUUUAUUGAAGACUAACUACUGCGAAAGCAUUUGGCAAAAAUGUUUUCAUUAAUCAGUGAACGAAAGUUAGGGGAUCGAAGACGAUCAGAUACCGUCGUAGUCUUAACCAUAAACUAUGCCGACUAGGGAUCGGGCGAUGUUAUCUUUUUGACUCGCUCGGCACCUUACGAGAAAUCAAAGUCUUUGGGUUCU